AGUGAUUUGUGCCAACUAUUCUGUAAUGUUAGAAGAAAUCAAAAGUAAGAUGAUACUCAAUUAUGAGAUACUUUUAUCGGAGUAGUAAAAAACAACAAGAGUCAACUAUAAAACUGAUGUUACUUUAUUACAAAUUACAUUUAUAAUACAAAAAACGUAUAUUACGUAUAGUAAAGUUGCUGAUGAUUACGAAUAUAAUAUUUAGAAAUGCUGUAACAUACAAUGUUAAUUUCUAACGUUUAUGCAAGAAUAAUAUAAGGAAAAAGUUCAAGAGCUUUUAGAUUUUGACUUAGAUUUGGAUUCAGAUUAUGGAUCAGAAUUAAAAUCUCAAAAUUAAUCAAUAAAAUGAAAAUUUUAGACUCAGGAAAAAUGCGAUAAAAUGAAUAGUUAAAAAAGUGUUUACUUGCAUUAAUUGAGUGUUAACAUUUAUGGAAAACCAUAGAUGUAAACAUAUAUCCCGAUUAUUUUAUCAUGCACAAGCUGCUAAUUCAACAAUCAAAUGAUAAUAUUAGCUGCUAUAAAUUAUGUUAGUAGAUAUAAAUUUAAAAUGUAUAUGCAUAUAUAAAUCUUAUCGAUCUAAUCAAUAAAGAACAUUAAACUGGAUUAGCUUUUGCUUUUAUCUGUUAUUUAUGCUGAUACAUUUCUGUUUUAUUCUGGUUUAAAUUUGGAAAAAUAAUCAUAUAAAAGUAACGACCACGUGGUAACCAUAACCUAUGCAGCGGAUGAUUUUAUCAUAAAAAAAAAUAAUUUA